rnacentral:RNase_P_RNA from 1 species
AGUACAAGGCAAUCGCUGCUUAUAUAUAAUAUAGGUAGAGGAAAGUCCAUGCUCGCAUAAUCUGAGAUGAUUAUAGUGUUUGUGCCAGACGAAACGAUAAGUCUGGGUAGUGUAAGCUAACGGCUGAUGAAAUUCUAAGGGAAACUAUGAAUGGAGUCUUUAAAAGUGCCACAGAGACGAGCUUUUAUAGAAAUAUAAAAGAUGGAACGGGUAAACCCCACAAGCGAGAAACCCAAAAUUUGGUAGGGGAACUCUGCGUUACGAACUGAAGUGACAAAGGGACACAUUUGUGUAGAUAAAUGGUUGCCACCCUUGAAAAAGGGUACAGAACAUGGCUUAUAUGU